rnacentral:rRNA from 1 species
GAUUAAGUUAUUAAGGGCGCACGGUGGAUGCCUUGGCACUAGAAGCCGAUGAAGGACGUUACUAACGACGAUAUGCUUUGGGGAGCUGUAAGUAAGCUUUGAUCCAGAGAUUUCCGAAUGGGGAAACCCAGCAUGAGUUAUGUCAUGUUAUCGAUAUGUGAAUACAUAGCAUAUCAGAAGGCACACCCGGAGAACUGAAACAUCUUAGUACCCGGAGGAAGAGAAAGAAAAUUCGAUUCCCUUAGUAGCGGCGAGCGAAACGGGAAGAGCCCAAACCAACAAGCUUGCUUGUUGGGGUUGUAGGACACUCUAUACGGAGUUACAAAGGACGACAUUAGACGAAUCAUCUGGAAAGAUGAAUCAAAGAAGGUAAUAAUCCUGUAGUCGAAAAUGUUGUCUCUCUUGAGUGGAUCCUGAGUACGACGGAGCACGUGAAAUUCCGUCGGAAUCUGGGAGGACCAUCUCCUAAGGCUAAAUACUCUCUAGUGACCGAUAGUGAACCAGUACCGUGAGGGAAAGGUGAAAAGCACCCCGGAAGGGGAGUGAAAUAGAACCUGAAACCGUGUGCUUACAAGUAGUCAGAGCCCGUUAAUGGGUGAUGGCGUGCCUUUUGUAGAAUGAACCGGCGAGUUACGAUUUGAUGCAAGGUUAAGCAGUAAAUGUGGAGCCGUAGCGAAAGCGAGUCUGAAUAGGGCGUUUAGUAUUUGGUCGUAGACCCGAAACCAGGUGAUCUACCCUUGGUCAGGUUGAAGUUCAGGUAACACUGAAUGGAGGACCGAACCGACUUACGUUGAAAAGUGAGCGGAUGAACUGAGGGUAGCGGAGAAAUUCCAAUCGAACCUGGAGAUAGCUGGUUCUCUCCGAAAUAGCUUUAGGGCUAGCCUCAAGUGAUGAUUAUUGGAGGUAGAGCACUGUUUGGACGAGGGGCCCCUCUAGGGUUACCGAAUUCAGACAAACUCCGAAUGCCAAUUAAUUUAACUUGGGAGUCAGAACAUGGGUGAUAAGGUCCGUGUUCGAAAGGGAAACAGCCCAGACCACCAGCUAAGGUCCCAAAAUAUAUGUUAAGUGGAAAAGGAUGUGGCGUUGCCCAGACAACUAGGAUGUUGGCUUAGAAGCAGCCAUCAUUUAAAGAGUGCGUAAUAGCUCACUAGUCGAGUGACACUGCGCCGAAAAUGUACCGGGGCUAAACAUAUUACCGAAGCUGUGGAUUGUCCUUUGGACAAUGGUAGGAGAGCGUUCUAAGGGCGUUGAAGCAUGAUCGUAAGGACAUGUGGAGCGCUUAGAAGUGAGAAUGCCGGUGUGAGUAGCGAAAGACGGGUGAGAAUCCCGUCCACCGAUUGACUAAGGUUUCCAGAGGAAGGCUCGUCCGCUCUGGGUUAGUCGGGUCCUAAGCUGAGGCCGACAGGCGUAGGCGAUGGAUAACAGGUUGAUAUUCCUGUACCACCUAUAAUCGUUUUAAUCGAUGGGGGGACGCAGUAGGAUAGGCGAAGCGUGCGAUUGGAUUGCACGUCUAAGCAGUAAGGCUGAGUAUUAGGCAAAUCCGGUACUCAUUAAGGCUGAGCUGUGAUGGGGAGAAGACAUUGUGUCUUCGAGUCGUUGAUUUCACACUGCCGAGAAAAGCCUCUAGAUAGAAAAUAGGUGCCCGUACCGCAAACCGACACAGGUAGUCAAGAUGAGAAUUCUAAGGUGAGCGAGCGAACUCUCGUUAAGGAACUCGGCAAAAUGACCCCGUAACUUCGGGAGAAGGGGUGCUCUUUAGGGUUAACGCCCAGAAGAGCCGCAGUGAAUAGGCCCAAGCGACUGUUUAUCAAAAACACAGGUCUCUGCUAAACCGUAAGGUGAUGUAUAGGGGCUGACGCCUGCCCGGUGCUGGAAGGUUAAGAGGAGUGGUUAGCUUCUGCGAAGCUACGAAUCGAAGCCCCAGUAAACGGCGGCCGUAACUAUAACGGUCCUAAGGUAGCGAAAUUCCUUGUCGGGUAAGUUCCGACCCGCACGAAAGGCGUAACGAUUUGGGCACUGUCUCAACGAGAGACUCGGUGAAAUCAUAGUACCUGUGAAGAUGCAGGUUACCCGCGACAGGACGGAAAGACCCCGUGGAGCUUUACUGUAGCCUGAUAUUGAAAUUCGGCACAGCUUGUACAGGAUAGGUAGGAGCCUUUGAAACGUGAGCGCUAGCUUACGUGGAGGCGCUGGUGGGAUACUACCCUAGCUGUGUUGGCUUUCUAACCCGCACCACUUAUCGUGGUGGGAGACAGUGUCAGGCGGGCAGUUUGACUGGGGCGGUCGCCUCCUAAAAGGUAACGGAGGCGCUCAAAGGUUCCCUCAGAAUGGUUGGAAAUCAUUCAUAGAGUGUAAAGGCAUAAGGGAGCUUGACUGCGAGACCUACAAGUCGAGCAGGGUCGAAAGACGGACUUAGUGAUCCGGUGGUUCCGCAUGGAAGGGCCAUCGCUCAACGGAUAAAAGCUACCCCGGGGAUAACAGGCUUAUCUCCCCCAAGAGUUCACAUCGACGGGGAGGUUUGGCACCUCGAUGUCGGCUCAUCGCAUCCUGGGGCUGUAGUCGGUCCCAAGGGUUGGGCUGUUCGCCCAUUAAAGCGGUACGCGAGCUGGGUUCAGAACGUCGUGAGACAGUUCGGUCCCUAUCCGUCGUGGGCGUAGGAAAUUUGAGAGGAGCUGUCCUUAGUACGAGAGGACCGGGAUGGACAUACCUCUGGUGUACCAGUUGUCGUGCCAACGGCAUAGCUGGGUAGCUAUGUGUGGACGGGAUAAGUGCUGAAAGCAUCUAAGCAUGAAGCCCCCCUCAAGAUGAGAUUUCCCAACUUCGGUUAUAAGAUCCCUCAAAGAUGAUGAGGUUAAUAGGUUCGAGGUGGAAGCAUGGUGACAUGUGGAGCUGACGAAUACUAAUCGAUCGAAGACUUAAUCAA